rnacentral:tRNA from 1 species
GCCGCCGUAGCUUAAAUAAAGCAUGACACUGAAGAUGUUAAGAUGUACCGUAAAAAGUUCCGGAGGCA